UACGUAGGGUGCAAGCGUUAAUCGGAAUUACUGGGCGUAAAGCGUGCGCAGGCGGUUCUAUAAGACAGAUGUGAAAUCCCUCGGCUUAACCGGGGAACUGCGUCUGAUACUGGAUGGCUUGAGUUCGGGAGAGGGAUGCGGAAUUCCAGGUGUAGCGGUGAAAUGCGUAGAUAUCUGGAGGAACACCGGUGGCGAAGGCGGCAUCCUGGACCGACACUGACGCUGAGGAGCGAAAGCCAGGGGAGCAAACGGG
rnacentral:rRNA from 1 species